ensembl:lncRNA
CUUUGGUGGGCUGUGCUGUUUGAUAUCUCCCCCCACUCUGUGAAGGGGGAAAGGAGUUCACACCUCACACCUGGAGCUGAAGGUACAUGAGGGUGGGAAGCCGGAGGAUGUGACAAGCCAAGACUUAGACACAACAAGGUGUGAAGACUGAAGCUUUUACUCUCCCUAACUCGAGAUAUAUUCAAAGAAGAGCUACUUAAAAGCCAAGAUGUGAACUCGAGACCUUGAAGAGGGCCUCUUCCUCUGAGUACAGCAAGUUUGGAUCCCUAGAAAGGGGCUCAUUAUUUUGUUUGAGUUAAUCAAGCUUUUGUUAAAUGCUAUAUGCCAAAGGCCAACUUUGCCCACACUAAUUCCACAAAUACAAGAAAUGAAAUGAUCUCUAUUCACAAGAGCUUCUAACUGGGGAGAGAAUACAUGGAACAUAAAUAUAAAAAUCUCUAGAGUAUCUUGAAGCUUCACAGCGCACUCCACUCAACUUUUGUGUUGAAGAAUAAAUGUAAGAACAGGGAUGAUGACCAGACAAAAAAACAAAGACAACAACAAAGAAGACGGAGACCAGUAAAAUUAGGAAUAAUAAGCCCCAGGCAGUUAACAGGACUAAAAGCAUCAAUCCAGACAUGGCUGUUCGUAGGAGCAUCUCGCCGCCCAGAAGUCGGGUUUCAAGCUUAACAAGGUUCAUAGAAGACCAAAGGAGCCAACAUUCCCAUGAUAUUUUUGUACAUCCAUCAUUUUCCAUGCCUUCUCCCUCAUUUUCCAUGCUUUCUCCCUCAGUAUCUUCCUUCAUGCACCAGUCACGACAAUCAUCUCAUGUACCCUAUGGACAAGACAUCUCUUCUUCCUACUACAAUUUCAGUUUUGGAAUUCCACUGCCCUCUCCUUUUUCUUAUGUUGAUCCUUUCUUCCGAAGAGGACAACCUGAGAGGGCUCAAGCUUCAAACCCAUUCCUGACCUCCCCCCCUUUCUGUGACUUAUCCCAAAGACAUCCAUUUAUGGAAUAUAAUAGUGAAAUGUGCUUUCAUUCAAGAAACCUUGAACCUAGAGGGAUUCAGUCACCAGCAGCACAAGCUACAAGGCAGGAAAAAGAUAUUUCUGGGACAAACUAUUGCUUUAAUGAUUGCUAUGCUUCCCCUUCUACGAUGCUGAAAUUGGGAGCUACUUGUAACCUGGACUCUAGGCAUGAUUACCCACCAAUUUUCCAUAUUCCUUUAAAACCAGAGACUCCAAUGGAUAAAGAACUUUCAUUAAUGCAUCAGAACUUUCCACCACCUCCAACUAUCAGAUACAACUUAACCCCACCAAAGUCCUUAACUGAUCCUGAAGAGGAUCCUUUGGGAAACCUCUUUAAAUUACUUCAGGCUGACCUGGUCCCCAAAAGACCAAGAUAUUUCCUGGAAGGUACAGAUUCUGAAGCAGAUACCACAUCUUCCAUCUCAUCUGAAUGUCAUUCAAAAGACCAUUCCAAAUGCUGUCCACAUCACGUAACUCCCCAAGAAGGAAUGAAGAAAGAUUCCUAUCAGACUCCAGAAUGUGACUCCAGCAGCUCAACAGAAUGCGACUCCAGCAGUUCAACAGAAUGCGACUCCAGCAGUUCAACAGAAUGCGACUCCAGCAGCUCAACAGAAUGUGACUCCAGCAGCUCAGCAGAGGGACGUUCCGAUGAUAUUAAUGAUGCGGAGACUGAUGAUUAUAUUAUAGAUGUGGAGACAGUAGAAAAUUAAAGCCAGGAUGUUGUCUAUAAUUGUUUGUGUUGUAGAAUUCUUGACGAAAUCUUCCUCUUCCACAUGGCUCUUUUCAACAACGAGAUGAUUCAAACCCGUUCCAAUUGUUCAGUGAUGAAGAAAACCAUCUAUACCCAGAGAGGACUGUGGGAACUGAGUGUGGACCACAGCAUAGCAUUCUCACUCUCUGUUGUUGUUUGCUUGCUUUUUGUUUUUUUUUUUCCCCUCAGGUUUUUUUUUCUUUCUUCAAUUGAUUUUUCUUGUGCAGCAAAAUUACUGUAUAAAUAUGUAUAUAUACAUAUAUAUAGGAUAUAACAUAUAUUGGAAUACCUGCAAUCUAGGGGAGGAGGUGGGGGAAAGGAGGGGAAAAUUUAGAACAGAAGGUUUUUCAAGGGUCAAUAUUGACAAAAUUGCCCGUGCUAUAUUUUGUAAGUAAAAAGCUUUACUAAAAUAUUUUUAAAAAA